rnacentral:rRNA from 1 species
GUGCCAGCCGCCGCGGUAACACGAACCGUACGAACGUUAUUCGGAAUCACUGGGCUUAAAGGGUGCGUAGGCGGCCUGGUAAGUUGGGUGUGAAAUCCCUCGGCUCAACCGAGGAAUUGCGCUCAAAACUGCCAGGCUCGAGGGAGACAGAGGUGAGCGGAACUUAGGGUGGAGCGGUGAAAUGCGUUGAUAUCCUAAGGAACACCAGUGGCGAAAGCGGCUCACUGGGUCUCUUCUGACGCUGAGGCACGAAAGCUAGGGGAGCGAAGAGGAUUAGAUACCCUCGUAGUCCUAGCUGUAAACGAUGAGCACUGGAUCGAAGGACACUCCAUAGUCUUUUGGUCGUAGCGAAAGUGUUAAGUGCUCCGCCUGGGGAGUAUGGUCGCAAGGCUGAA